rnacentral:rRNA from 1 species
CAGGCCUUGACAUCCAAUGAACUUUCCAGAGAUGGAUUGGUGCCUUCGGGAACAUUGAGACAGGUGCUGCAUGGUUGUCGUCAGCUCGUGUCGUGAGAUGUUGGGUUAAGUCCCGCAACGAGCGCAACCCUCGUCCUAUGUUGCCAGCACGUAAUGGUGGGAACUCAUGGGAUACUGCCGGGGUCAACUCGGAGGAAGGUGGGGAUGACGUCAAAUCAUCAUGCCCCUUAUGUCUUGGGCUUCACGCAUGCUACAAUGGCCGGUACAAAGGGCUGCAAUACCGCAAGGUGGAGCGAAUCCCAAAAAGCCGGUCCCAGUUCGGAUUGGGGUCUGCAACUCGACCUCAUGAAGUCGGAGUCGCUAGUAAUCGCAGAUCAGCAACGCUGCGGUGAAUACGUUCCC